UACGGGGGGAGCAAGCGUUGUUCGGAUUUACUGGGCGUAAAGUGCGCGUAGGCGGUCAGCACAAGUCAGUUGUGAAAUCUCCGGGCUUAACUCGGAAAGGUCAACUGAUACUGUGCGACUAGAGUGCGGAAGGGGCAACUGGAAUUCUCGGUGUAGCGGUGAAAUGCGUAGAUAUCGAGAGGAACACCUGCGGCGAAGGCGGGUUGCUGGGCCGACACUGACGCUGAUGCGCGAAAGCCAGGGGAGCGAACGGG
rnacentral:rRNA from 1 species